rnacentral:rRNA from 1 species
GUCUUUUUGUAAUUAAAUUUAAAGUCUAAUCUGCCCACUGAUAAUUAUUUAAUGGCCGCAGUAUUUUAACUGUGCAAAGGUAGCAUAAUCAUUAGUCUUUUAAUUGGGGGCUUGUAUGAAUGAUUGAACGAGAUAUAAACUGUCUCAUAAAAAUUUUUUAUAGAAUUUAAUUUUUUAGUCAAAAAGCUAAAAUAUUUUUAAAAGACGAGAAGACCCUAUAGAUCUUUAUAAAAUAACUUAUUCUUUUUUUUUUAGAUUUGUUAAAUAUUAAUAAAUUAUUUUAUUUUGUUGGGGUGACAUUGAAAUUUAUAAAACUUUCAAAUUUUAAAUCCAUUAUUUUAUGAAUUAAUGAUCCUUUAUUAUUGAUUAAAAAUUUAAGUUACCUUAGGGAUAACAGCGUAAUUAUUUUGGAGAGUUCUUAUCGAUAAAAUAGAUUGCGACCUCGAUGUUGGAUUAAGAUAAAUUUUAGGUGUAGAAGCUUAAAGUAUUAAGUCUGUUCGACUUUUAAUUUCUU